UUUUUUGUGAACAUCACUGAAGCUCUGAAGCUUUGAGCAGCAGGAUUAGGUGUUGCUUUGUUCUGGUUUGUUGCUAAUAGUUGUGUAUGUUGAAGCUGUUGUUUCAAAAGACGACGCCCAGGUUCCAUUGCUCUAUCUGGGGGGGCUGUGGCCCCUCACAUUGGCGAUCUCCUGACAUGAAGAGUAAUUUAUAUUUUUUUCAGGUGUCUAGAAGGCUCCCAAAAGCCUAUUCCUUGGAAAACAGCAUGGCACGGGAAUCAGAGAGAGAAAGGAACCAGAUCAGACGAGGAGCUCUCUCUCAAGAGUCCUGCAGAAAGAACAGAACUUACCCCCAAGAUGUGGCAACCCUUGGAGCCGUGAAUCAGCCCUUUGCUUCUCUGCAGAAGCGCACUGGCUCAUUGGUGCCCUGCAGAGGCUGAUGAAACAGAAGCAGUCAGUAAUCCAGCCGGUGGCAGCAGUUCAUGCUCCCCACCGUCUCAGCCUAGUACACAUUCCCUCUCCUUGGCCGAAGAAUUAAAGAGGACACCUUGAAAGGGUUUCUGAACUCGAUACCUACCAAAAAGAAAAAGUUCUCCCUUCCCUUUGCAGGAGCCUGAAGUCUCCCCCUUGGUUUUUUCAUUGACUUUAGUGCUGCGGAUGAUUUGGGAUGUUGGUCUAGCUGGUGACUCAUCUCAACCACAAGUGUUUUAGAAAUGAGCAGCAUGGGCCGGGCAUGGUGGUUCAUGCCUGUAAUCCCAGCACUUUGGGAGGCCGAGGCAGGCGGGCCACCUGAGGUCAGGAGUUCGAGACCAGCCUGACCAACAUGUCGAAAUCCCGUCUCUACUGAAAAUACAAAAAUUAGCCGGGCAUGGUGGUGGGCACGCCUGUAAUCCCAGCUACUCGGGAGGCUGAGUCAGGAGAAUCACUUGAACCUGGGAGGUGGAUGUUGCAGUGAGCUGAGACCAUGCCAUUGGACUCCAGCCUGGGCAAAAAGGGCAAAACUCCGUCUCAAAAAGAAAAAAAGAAAGAAAAAGAAAAAGAAAUGGGCACCAUGCCUGCCUUAAAGUAAACCAGCAGUCUCUGAGCUCAGAGAUGGGGACCAUCUUGGAGCGAUCACCUUGCAGCUAUUGGGGAAGGAGUAGUGGGGGUCUCUCAUGCUCUGUUGUAGGGGAAUGGGCUUUCAAAGAAGUGGAGGUGGCAUCUCCAUUAGAGAGAUGAUUUGCAGUUAGUGUGGAGCACAGGGGGAGUUGGGGGGCCAGCCAUGGUGAUGGCAGGGCAUAGAGAUGAUAGACUAAGUUGCAUCCACUUUGCCAGGGGAGGAGAGGCCGCUCUGUUGGGAGGGGCUGGCGGCUUGGCUGUUGGGGAUCAUCCAGGCUUUUGCUCACUCUGCUUGGUUACUCACCUUAGUGGGCACUUCACAGAGGGUCAUUCCCUCCCAGGGAGGGAGGAAGGAAAAUAAAAAUCCAUCUCCAGGCAGAAGGGUGGAUGGGGGAGUUCAGACGUGCUUGUUCCCCCUCCGCCGUGAGAAGCAGUUCGUGGGCUUUGGCUGCUCUGGAUCUCAAGUCUCAUGUGAACCCAGCAGGCUUGGAACCAGCUCAUAUGUUUGGAGGGGUGAACAAAACUCACCAAAAAGGAGGGGAGUUUUCAAUGAGGGAGGUAGAGGGGGUGCCUUGAGAGGUUGUCUUUAUCUAAGAGUUCUCUGAUUUAAUUCCAAAUGGCAGUUUUUAGGGCACCAUACACAUGUUCAUUUUCCUUCUUUUUAAUUUUUAAUGUUUUGGUUUCUUUGAGACAAGGUCUCAGUUUGUCACCCAGGCUGGAGUGCAGUGGCAUGAUCACAGCUCACUGCAGCCUCGACCUCCUGGGCUCAAGCAAUCCUCACACCUCAGCCUCCCUAGGAGCUAGGACCAUGGGUGCCUGCCACCACACGUAGCUAAUUUUUAAAAAAUUUUUUAUAGAGGCAGAGUCUCACCAUGUUGCCUAGGCUGGUCUCUAACCACUCAAGCAAACACCGUGUUUGUGUUCUAGUGUUUUGUGAAAGGUAGAACUUGAGAGUGAUGAAAUCAGAUGUUUGGCUGAGGACAUUUCUAUGCAAUGUAUUGAAAGUGUGGCUUGGCUCCUCCUGACUGCUUAUAAUAAAAUGUGAGAGAGAAAUG
rnacentral:lncRNA from 1 species